rnacentral:rRNA from 1 species
CGUGUAGGGGGUGUGACCUGGUAAAUCCGGUUGCAUAUCAACCCUGAGGCGUGAUGACGAUGCACUACGGUGCAGAAGUAGUUGAUGCCCUGCUUCCAGGAAAAGCCUCUAAGCUCUAGGGAACAUUAAAUCGUACCCCAAACCGACACAGGUGGUCAGGUAGAGAAUACCAAGGCGCUUGAGAGAACUCGGGUGAAGGAACUAGGCAAAAUGGUGCCGUAACUUCGGGAGAAGGCACGCUGGC